GGGUUGUUUUUUGUUCUCUUUUAGGGAUUUUUUUAUGAAGUGAAAAAAGAAGAGAAGGUGUGAAAGAAGAAAAGUGGGGUAUAAAGGAAUCUUGUAAGGAAUGGAAUUUGAAGGAUAGAUUUGAUUCUUUUGAAGAAGCUAGAAAUGUUUUCCCCUUGACUCUUCAAGUAUUCUUUUAGCUUUUCUCUUUAAAAGUAUAAAUAUGUGUGCACAGACACUGUGGUGUGUUUCAUACUGUAAAAGUAAUGUCUUUUCCAUGUCUUUCCAUAAGUUCUGCUAUCUUAUAAAACUUAGAUAUUUUACAGGGUGGAGGGAGUAAGAAACUGAAUAAAAAGCAUGCUAGAUAAUAGCUUUUUUGGAACUCUUGGAACGUUUUGUCCAAGAUCAGGCACGUCUGUGUGAUUUCACUGACUCUCUGCCUGGGCAGUGGCAGGUUCUCCAAGAAUCUUGAUUCUGUUCAGGAGGAAGCUGUCCAAGAGCACUGAGAGCAGAGCUAAAGGCAGCCCACGAGCACAGCACGUAGGACCAAAACAUCAGAAGGCUUUUGGAACUCUCCCUUGGAAGGACUUGCCUGCUCCAAGUGCUUGACUUGGGAUGAAAUAUGGCUCAGAGCACUGAUCUUGGUAAGAAUCAAGGAAAUGGAAAGUAAAUGAUGUGGGAGACUAAUGUGUAAUUAGAACUGUAGUGGUAAUUUUUCUUUUUUUCAACAAAACAUUGUUCUUCUCAGGGCCAAGCAAUGAUUCAGGUAACUGCUAAAGUUUUGCAGAGCAUUUUUCUUGGCACUGGGUAGUAGGUUUAUUAUUCUCAAACAUAGUGACACUUGUUCAUAACACCAAGAGUCCUGUUACAACUACUGCUUUUGUUGAUUGAGACAGGAUAAGCAUUGAUUGAGAUUGGAUAAGCAUUGGAGAAGAAAGGGACAGAGACAAAAAGAAUUAUUUCAUUCUGUCUGGCAUUCCUCUAAAGUGAUACACAAGAAGUUGAAAAUAGCCAAGCAUCUGUGACAGAUUUGGGAAUGCAGCUGUGCUUUCUGGACAUCUACUCUUCCUGAAACCAGAAAGAUGCAUGAGAGUAAGUAUAAGUGGCUCUUGAAGGGAUUUUGACUGCUGCUUUUGCCAGAUGACAGCCAGAGACUCUGGCUUGCUGAUCAGAGUAUGUGGGGUGCACCCAACAGCUAGCAGAGUUCAAUUUAGGAGAGUCUGGUUAUUUCAUUGCCAUUCAAUAUUUGUUGUAAUCAAUAGUUUUUGUAUGAUUUUAGGAUUAAGAUGAACAUAGCAUACUUCAUUAAUAAAAGGGAAGGAGAAAUGUGAAUUUAAAAUAUACUCCAUGCUCUUGUAUGGGCCUUCUUGGCACCAUCAACAGAAAUGCCCAGAUUUAAACCAUUCAGAAAUCUGGCCUUUUAUUUCAUUGACUUUUUUUCAACCCUUUAAACAAUGAGAGACAAAAUGAGUUCAAGUCAAAAUUAUUCCCAUGGGUUCUGUGGCAAAGUGGCUUUGCCUAAUGUUAUGAAUGACACAAGUUUAAUAUCUGGCAAGAAGAAAGCCAUGUUUAUGCUAGGAAAAUUAUCUCUUGCUGAUAUUAAGUGUCAGCAGUAUUGCAGCAGAAUCACAGAUGAAUGUGGGUUUGCUGCCAGGAUACACAAGGACAAAGUGUUCAGAACCAUUUGGGGAACUGGCAAUAAUCUGGCACAUUCUGCACUUAACUUGCAGUUGCAUCCAUCAGAACCAGCAAUAAGUGACUUCUGUAAUGUAAACAAGGAUAAAGAGAAGAAAAUAAUCUGAAAUUAUGGGAGUAAAGCAGAACUGUCAAUGCAGGGUCCAGUUGCAGAACAGCAAAAACCAGGGAAGCAGCUGCUGGGAGUGAUUGCCCUCACAGCAGCUUUCUGAAAGUCUGCAGACACCAUUACACAUUCCGAAGAAAAGAAGCUCUGUGAAUAAAAGAUCACUAAAUGUGAUUUUCUAAGCUGUUAAAUGGUCAUAUUGGACCUUCAUUUAAAUUUCGAAAUUCUCAGGAAUGGUGAUAAAUUUUGACAAUUUGAAUGCAAACCUUAGCACAGUGUAUUAUAUUUUACAUUAAUGCUGCAUAGUAGAAGAGACAGAGUGAAGAUCCUCUGGGGUGCAGGAUGCAGACAGCUGGCAGUGAAUUGAAUAACUGGGUUUAGAGGACUUGCUCAAUAUUAAGCAACAAUCAGAGAUGCAAGUGAGCUGUGUAGACGUUUAAAGAAAGGGAUGGAAAGUAACACUGAGCUUAUAAUGUUUUAAGAGUGACGUUUGCUGUGCCUGUACCGCUGUGUUAUGAGGAGAUGGAGGGGAAACAAAGGGACCUCAAGCCCCAGAAGGACACAAGUGAGAGGAAAGUAGAACUGUGUGGGUUGAAGAGAAGAGAGAAGGCCUGACUGGUGUGUUUGUACUGGUGGGUGCUCUGAAUAACUCCACCUGUGUUUCUUUUCACCUUUGCUAUAACAUUUGGCCAAGAACAUUCAAACAGGUUGGAAAGCAGUGUUUUUACAGUGGCUUUUUCCCUUCUUUUUGUGUGUGAGCAAUAAGCAAUGAAAAUGAAACUUGUCACCAUCAGAUGUCAGUGAGGCCAAAAGAACUGCUGAAUUCUUGUGCUUUUCUCCAAAGCAGUAUCAUUAGUCACAGUAGGGGGGGAAACAAUAGGAGAUCUGGCUGGACUAAAUAGCCUGGUUUACAAUGGCAGUUCCUGUAUUUCAGUGGUAUUUCUAUUAGUGUUACAUACAAAUCUUAACUCUUGGUCAAACUUCCCUAAAUGUAGUGCACAUAUCAAACAUUUAUUUAGGGGUAUUUCAAGGCCCAUGCAACAUUCUGCCAGUUCUUAGUGAAGGACCUUAAUAUCGAAAUGUUUGUCUUUAAAAAGCAAGUGUCUUCCUUUAAACACUCCUCCUUUAAACUCUACAAAACAAUUAUUCUUUUUAACUCCAGAUCACUGUUAUUAACAGAGUAAAGCUUCACAGUGUGUUAGGGCAGGUAGUUAUAGGUGCUCAGUUUUUAAAAGAUUAUAAAUAAGGGUUGCAACCUGGCUCUGCAGCUGAGAAAAUGUCAUUAAUUUCAGGGCACCAGAAUUUGAGCCACUGGUGCUAUCUUUACUGAAAAAUGUGGGUGUUUUGUUGCAGUUUAUCAAGAUUCAAUUGGGUUUUAGUUCUUGUAAGGGUUCUGUGAGAACAACAAUACGCUCUUAUUCUUGCUAGAGUGAAAUGGAAGCCAGUGACUGUUUUUCUGAGUCUUACAGAAUAUGGUCUCUGACUUGUUUCUACACUGGACAGAGUUUGAGAAGUUUUUGUGCCUGUUUGCUGUACAUAUUCACAGCUACAGUGAGAGUGUUUUAUUGUCAGAAAGCUGUCAUCUGCUGGGUUGAAUUGAAAACAGUCAAGGUAAUGAUUCUUUGUUGUUUGGGUUCUUGAAAGGCUUGACAUCAUUAUCAUUCCUAGAAUGACAUGGAUUAUAAACCACAGCAUAGGAAAAUUAGGAGGAUUCACUCAGGUACAUGAAAUUUCAGUUGCAAGGUGUGAGAAGACAAUGAUGUUCUUAUGCUCUCCCCAGAUAGUUGUUUUUUGUGCUCUGAUUGCCAGCACAAAGUUCUCUGAUAUCCAUGAUUUCUCUGUCCCGCUCCUUAUAUUGGCCAGAAUGAAAAAGGAUAGGAGUUAAAAGGAAAAAGACAUAGUUGCAGCUCAUAGAUGUUCCAGCUGCUCCCCAGAGACCCUGUAGUGUCAUCACACAAUGUGCUUUUCUGACCUGUGCCCAAGGUCCAGGGAAACAGUCCCUCACUCUGCACCAUUAGCGGUGAAUGAAUUCAAGCGGGACAGACUUUUGUCCAGGCAGAACUCUCUUGUAACUUUAUUACUCCAUACCUAUAUCCAGACUCUCUACUGACCCUGGGCCCAGGCUACCCAGCCAGGCAGAUGUUUCUUUAUCUCCCCACAUACCACACACCCAUGUGACUGCUUCCAGCCACAGAGAACAGCCAUGCUCCAAGCGCCUUUCCAGCUUGACCUUCUGAUUCUUUUCUCACACACACUAAUCUUAGCUCUGGCUCGCUCAGGACCACAAUAUUUUUGCUUUAGUAUUUUCUUCUUUUCUCAUCCAGGUGGCUGGUGUUGUCUAUCCAGCUGCUCCUACAGUCCAGGACAAAAGGAAGCCACUAGUGUUACUUGUUCCCACAAGUAACACUACAAGCUAUUCAUUUCGAAGUUGCAUAGAAGGAGAAGGGCCAGUGAGUCACUUUGGAGAUUCUGGCGUGGUCAAGGUUGAUUGCAUCAUUUGUACUUGGUCACUACACAGUACUUGGUGUAGAAACAGCUGUGUCAAAUAUGUUCCGAAAUAAACCAGUAUUUUGGAGCUCCCAGAAGGUCUAAAUAUGUUUCUUUCAUCUUUCAGCAGUGACAAUGCUUUCUCAGAAAGCUUAGUUCUCUGACCAAGAGAACAAAAUUUCCCUCCUUAAUAUCUAAAAAACUACUGCAAAGUAGAAAGGAUAACAUGUUUUCAGGUUUUUAUAGGAAAACAUAUGAAGGACUUGAAUGGCAAUAAGAUAAAUUCUGCUUAGUGCUGGUUAAUGCUUAGUUAGGGAUAAUGUACCAUUUCUUCGGAAGAUUGUAAAAUCUCUAUCACUUGGGCUUUUAAAAACAGCUCUAACAGGCAAUGCCAGGUAGCUCUGAUCCUGCUGUGGGACAGAGGUCCCUGGAGUCCCUGGCAUGAGCAUUUUCUAUGACUCUGUGACUGCAGGAUUCAUAGCCUCUGGGGGUUUGGUUACUCUUUGAAGUAGAAUUAUUGGGCAACUUAAUAACAUGGACACAAAUGAAGACAUUAGAGAGACAAGUAGUCCUACAUAUCAAGAAAAUUACAGCUAUUUUGAUUUAAUAUAGGAAAUGUAGUGAGAUUGCAAGGACAGUAUAGAAAUAGUUUAGUCUGCAUUUGGGUGCCAGAAUGUCUGCACAUCAGCUUUUGGGAAUUACUUCUUUUUGCUGUCCAUAGCUGAUGCUUACUGACUCCAGCUGUGACAAAAUUCUCUCCUUAGAUUAAUGACAUCUAGACCAAUUCCAGGAAGGAGGAUAAUUUGGACGUGAAAGCAAGGAAAAGAGUUAGUCAGCUUAGAAUGUAGGGUAGUUUUACAGGCAAAAUUAAACUGUUGCUCCUGUUCCUUGAGACUUAAAAACUAAAAUGGACUUCCAAUAUGUAGUAUAGGAGCAGUGGUACUGAGGGCCUGACUUGAUAACUUAAGAUUCUAUAAUGUAUUGUUCUUCAGGGAUAUUGCAAAAUCUAUAUCAAAUUUUUCAAGCCACAUUUCAGAGUAUGGUUUGUUAUAUGAUAUCUUCAACUGAAAUAUAGGAUUAUUUUUGCACUGCAGAGCUUGAGAAAUAACUUCUGGCUUGAACAUUAAAUCCAUGUUAUUUUUGAUCAGCUUUACCUUCUCACAUCAUAACUUUGAUAAGAAGUCAGAGUGCAGGAAGAAUGGGUAAGAUGGUACUUGGCCAGUGCUGAGCAGAGGUUUGGUUUUGGAAGCCCUAUUGGAAUGGUGUGACUGGACAACAAGCUCCACAUCUCCUCUGGCCUGGCAGUGGUGAGGAGGGGAUAAGUGAUGCUGUUUCCCCCUUGAUUGCUGAACAUCUCUGUGACCCUUCCUUAGGGGGAAUGAGCACAUUACUGACUGGUAAAGCAGUGCACUGGCAUCAAACCAGUGUGUGGGAGUUGGAAACAAACCUGCUGAAAUGGGUGUCCCGACAACAGCAGUGAGGUUCUUUCUUUUUCUGUUUGAAAACAGAACAAAAAAUCAACAACAAGGCUGUACAAGAACAAAAAUUAGAACCCCAAGAGUCUACGUGCUUCUGGUGCUGUGCCAGUGAGUACCCACAGCCAUGGGAGAACAGGGAGUGUAAAGGAAUGACUGCUGGAGUAAAUACUGAGCAGGGAGCGUGACUGAGCCAGAGCUGAUCCUCACACCCUCCUCGUGGGCCAGCGCUGGCAAUGGGCCAGAGUAGGUGAAACUGUUGCAUCAAUUUAUCAUAGAAACAACAAAUCAGGCCAGAUUUAUCUAAUCAGCUUUUUGUGAUUAAAAUAUGUCUAGGCUCCCUUUUCCAAAACUGCAAGGGUUGCAGCACCAGCGAGAUUAGGGAUAGACUCCCUGUCUGUGUAUGUAUAUGUAUGCAUGCAUCUAUUUCAUUUUUCUUUGAGCAUUUGCCCUUUUGAGGGAAUAGAUGGUAAAAAAAGGGAUAAAGCAACAUAGGAGUAAGUAAUGGGGAAUAGUUAACAAGAGUUGGCGCUUCAUCUUGGCACCCUGGAAAGCUUUCAACAGCUAGGACAUUUUAUUUUUAUUUUUCUAUUUCGAGCAGGGUGGUGGUGGUUCAAGCUGAGCUGGCAGAAGCUUUCUAGAUAGCAUCAGAUCUUGGAUGAAAAUGGGUGUAAUGUCCUUUGGAAAUGAAGCAGGGAGGAAGCUGAUAUAAAUUUCUUCUGUCACUUACUUUUGAUUGACUUAGUGUUUAACUCAUCCUUCAGCACCUGGGGGACUGCAGUCCUCUUCUGCUUCUUGGUGCUCUGGCUUCUCUCUCUCAGUGCAUGAUUAUCAGUGAUCCAUGUCUGGGUCAUGACUCACCUUGUUGUGUUAAAGCUGGCCUUUGGAAGUGCUCUGCUUUCCCAGGACACGCUGCUUUAUGCCAAGAGCCAAGCCAAGUGGUGUAGCAGGUGUGAAUGUCUGUAUAGAACGGACACUUUUGAAGCCUUCUAUGUUUUAAAGGGAAUAGAUCAAUCUUUCCCAUGUUAUUUAGUCCAGGGAAGGCUUUUCCCUUCUCACUCCAUCUCCUGUCACUUUUGGCCCUUCUAUCCUCCUCAGCAGAAUAAGUGUUUUUCCAAGCCUUGGGAUCCUGACAUCAAGAGAAGAGUGAGAAUGCCAAGAUUCUCACAAUCCUGUGCAUUGCCAUAAGGAUUUAAAGUUGGAUGUUGUUUGGUUUUAAGUGUUACUGAUUGUGUCUUAAAUGUAACAGGUCUUAGUGCUACUCUUCAGAAGUCUGUGGAAAUGUUCUUGCUUUCAUUUGAGUUACCAAGCCUUUCAUAAUGAUUCUGAUGGCUCUACAGGCCAGGCCUCUGGGAGAAGCAAAGCAGAUAAAAGCAUAUCUAGAAUGCUUUUGGAUUCCCUGGAGGGAAGUAUUUCCAAGGGAGAGUUAAAAAAAAAAAAAAAAGAAGAUAAAAAUCUGAAUAAGUAAAUCUGAUUAAGUGAUGUGAUGAGUCUAUUUUGUGUUCAUUUUGUGACAUGGACCAUGAGUCCCACAGGAGCCCUGAAGGUGCAGAAUUCUGGGAGCCACGGAUGAUUCAUGUCUUGUUUCCUACAGACCAUUCCUAACUGAGCCAUCCUUGGACAGCCCAGCUGGGUAAGUUUUGGGAUCACUUUAAGACAGAGCUCCAGGAAGAGACAGUUCUUCCACCUUGUCAAAAAAAAUCCACAGAUGUUGAGAUUCUUUGGUUUCUGUGGUGGUCACAGAGGUGUUCAAAGGUGCAGUACACAUUUGGGUGUUUGUUCUGUGUUUCCCUAUCUCCUGCAGUGAAAUGGUAUAAUUUCCUGAAGCACACCUAAGAAUCUUAAGGCUUUGUUCUUUUUUAUAGGUUCUUCCUAUCAGUUCUUCCUAUCAAAGGUUAUUAUUUUUUUUUAUGAUAAAUAUACUUGAAAAACUAAGCCAUUGUACUUCCUGGCUAGAAGGUGCUCUCAAGAGAACACUCAUGGCUGAGAUAAAGGAUUUAAUUUAAUUUGAACCAAUUCUGAACAAAGGACACUGAUGUGUUUGCAACCUAACACACCUUUUAUUCCCAUGUUAGAACAGCCCUCGAUUUUAUGUCUUGAUCUUUCAACAGUGGUAUAGAACUUCAUUUGUCACCAGGUAAAAAAGAUCUUGGCUUAGCAUAUGAGGAAGAAUUGUAUCUGUCCACUGAAACACCUAAUUUUGCGAGACACCAGGAAAUUUUCUAUUGGAAAAUAUUGAACCCUUUUAGCAAUUGAAGUUCAGUAUUCUCACUUUUCAACAGUAGUGAUUUUAGCACUUCUUACAAUUGAGUUUUCUAGGGUUACUUUUGAUGUUGCAAGCCCAAAGUAACAUGAAUCAAAAUUAAUCUGACUAAAAGAACAUAAAAGCAGUAGUUCCCACUAUGAAACUGCCUGCAUCUGACUUCAUUUAUUUGCCCUACUUUUUAUUUCCCAUUUAUUUUUUACACAAGUGACCAUACAAGUGUCCUCUCCCUGCAAAAAAAACCCCAAAUAAACAACAACAAAAAACCCCCAAAACCCAAUGUAUUUUAAAAAAAAUUGUCAGAAAUUCUGUUUCUUUUGUUUCAAGAUUUUUUUAAAUUCUUAACAUUGUACUUCCAUUGCUUUUUUAUUGCUUGAAGUUCUAAUCCCUUAUGAUAUAGUAUUUUCUGCAUCAGUCUACUGUGACUCUAAUAAAGCAGAAAUAGUUCUAAAUCAUGUGUAUUUAGGUUUUGUUUGGGUUUAGUUUUUCCAUCUUUUUUUUCCCCCCAGGUAUUUCCAUCUGGCAUCAGCAGAGUUCAAAAGGCCUGAUUAUUUUUUGGGUUAUCAAAAGUUUCCUUCUGCCUGCCUCUAAAGAAGCUCUUUUAGAGCUUGGUUUUACCUUGUACUAACAGUAAUCUUGGAAUCCCAAAACCUCUGUAAUUAUUUGCAUUUCACUACUGUGAUGGAUUAUACUUUACAGUUUGAAUCUUGGCACUCUUCUGGGUUGUAUUUGGGUUAUCUCAGCAAUUAGAAAAAGGCUGGUUUUGCACCUACAUAGUAUUAAGCCACAGGUUUUAUUUGAUACAUGAAAACUAGUUGGGGGGAAGAUCACUUUCAUUCUCUCUUCCUUCCCCAGCCUCCUUUCCUCCCAAUUCCUUUCUUUCUAAAAGAAAUUGUAGUACAAAAGUGAGAAAAACAGAAAAGUAUAGGAAAAAUAACAAACAGGAAACUUAUGAUUUUUUCAGUGUAACUUCGAACUUCUUUGGAAAACCCAUUAUCUCAAGACUAUCAACUUUCCCCUAGGGAUUAAAAAACCCUGCUUUUCUGUCCAGCUCCAGUCAGAGAUUGUGAGGGAAUAAAAUUUGUCUUCCUACUGAAUGAGCCCAGGACUGGAUCUCUGGCCAACUAAUUAUUUCCUAAUCUGUCAGCAAAUUCUCUAGAUCUCCAAGUAUGCAGAGGAUUGUCUCAUCUAAAACCGAAUGUCCUGGCAGAACAGCUUCAUAUUCUUCCCUGCACAUACCAGGGAACUGUGAGCUUGUGCAGGUAGAAAAACAAAUAUUGCAGUUUGACUCAGAGUUACUUCUGCAGAGCGUCUCUGUGGAGGUGCCAGAAACCUCAGCUGUGCAGAGCCAGGCUUUGCUGCUUCUCCAGCCACAUUGAACCUGGAAUCCCCAAACACACAGAGCCUUGGGAGCAUGGGAAGCAGAGCACAGUGCUAGUUAAGAUUUAAGAUCUCUCUCGACCUCUGGCAGAUUUCUGGACAUUGUAAUGCAUUUUCUAUUCCUUUCAUCGAGUCCACACCUUAAAGUGGAGGUUAUGAUGUGGCUUGAGGUGUUUGUGCUGUGCUUUGACUCACUGUCCAGACAGGGUAUGUGUAACAUAUAGAGAGGAGCAGGUUCCUCUCUAGCUUUCUCAGAGUUGAAAUUUCAUCCAUAAUUUUAAUAGGAAAUGCUAAACUUUCAAGAGGAAGGCCAUUUAGGAGAACUAAAUGGAACCAUACUGUUUUUAAAAGUUGAACAUUGAACCCUGGCAAGCGUGAGUAGGUAAGAUGUAAAGAUGCUUCAUUGUGCAGGAUGGAAUUUUGGGAGUGGGUUCAGUUGUCUGUGGCUCUGAACUGCAAAAUGCUGCAAAAGAUGCAGUGGUUACUAAAGAAAUACUGGAAGUAAAUUACAUAAUAAUAUGGCAAAUAAUAACCAAGUGACCCCUAACAAUUUUAAUAGCCCAUUAAAAAAAAAGUCUGUUUUGCUUCAGCCUACUUGGUAGUUAUGUAAGCUCCAGAAAUUCUGUGUGUUAUCUGACAUGCUGGACUAGAGAACUGUUGCUCUGUAGAAACAGAGAUUGUUAACAAAGACAGAUUCUCUUACUGGUUGUUGUGUCGUUUUAUAAUGUGAUAGUGUCCUACUGGAUCAAGGGAGUUGUAGCAUCUUAUCACAGAAUGAUUUAUCAAAAAUAAUCUUCAAAAUUUACAUGACAUGGAAAAGCUACUUUUGACUUCAGGUAAAAGCAUCUAAAAGUCCCUUAUGCAAAAAGCUGCUUUUAUGUGACCAUAAUAUUUCCUCUUCUUUUACACUCUGCCUGCCUUUUCAACUGCCAGUGUGCCCACUAAUGCUGUUUCAGUGAAGAUGUUUUACUCUGUUCUGUGUUUACCAGAGCACAGGGAUGUGCCAGGGAUGCAGAUGUGGAACUCUUGCCACCCAAGAACGCAGCUCAGUCUUGACAAAUGAGAUCAGAAUGGGCAGAAUUUAGUUUAGCUCUUUGCAUGAGUCUCUUAAAGGUUUAUGGAGAUUCUUCUUUCCCAGCCAGCAGUAGGUGUGCUUUCUCUGUUGGUAAAGUUCUCUUAGCUCAAUGGUGAUACUGGCCUAAAACACUGUAAUCUCAGAGCCCUCAAAGUCCAAAGGCAAGGCUGUUGGUAUGACUAAAGAAAUUUCAUUCAGAGCUUAUCUGAGAAGAGCAAAAUGCCAGAUUCCCCCAGAAGGAGCAACACUUAGUUGAUGAAAUUAAUGACUUUGACAGGUGAAGAUACCAGGACUAGAGAACAAGCCAUGCUCUUCAGAGCUCUGAGGAAUAUGAGUUCUUAAGCAACCAUGAGCCCAUUUUUCUGUGUAAAAUAAUUUCUUAAGAGUUGAGCAUAAGCUGUUUCUUCCUUGCAGUGUACAGGUCUGACCCAGCUGCCCGAAAUCCACGUGGUGUUUCUUCAUUGAUUUAAUUCCAUUUUGGAUCAUCUCAUGUAUUGAAAGGUCCUAUGCAUAUGCAGAGGGUAGAUAUAAUCUAGAUUGAUUUAUGUGAUUGUACUGACUGCUCUCACAUCAAUAUGUGACUUACCUAUGACUUACAAAGGCUACUUCCUAAUUAGUAUAAAAUCUCAGAGUAGAAGUUUCAAAAACAUUAUCUGUUUGCAAUUUAAAGCCUGAAGGGUUUUUUUUUUGCUUUUACCUUAAUAAAAUGUCAUGUAAAUUGUCUUUUAUUUUUCUUUCAUUUGUGAAAAAGGUGUUGAAACCUCAUAUGUUUUUAUGCAUAUGUACACACACACAAAAUUCAAGAGAAGAACCCGCUACUAAAGCUGGAAUGCAAAAAGCCCUUGCUCUGGUGGAAAUGCAGGCUCUGCACAGAUGUUGAUUAUACACAUGGGACAGGCUUCGUUCAAGAUGAAUAGACAAUCCAUAAAAUGCACACUUUCCCUCCCUCAUUCUUCUUGUCUAUCUGAUUUUGUAGAAUGAUUUUAAUUAACCCCACAGAACUGCAAUAAACUGCAGGAAUUGUAAAGUGAACAUCCAGAAAUGCUGCAGAUAGAAAAAUUGCUGCAUAGCUGUAAGGUUAUGCUUUUCUUCUUUUGUGCCUGUAAACACAUCUGUUCAAAGCUGCACAUGAACUUCUUUUCUUCUCUGGGCAGCUGAAAGGCAUAAGGGAAUAUUUUUCAUGAAAAAACUUAGCAGUGCCUACUUCAAAGAAAUUGGGAAUUAGAGAUAUUUAGAUAGUGAGGAGUAUUGCACUCACUCUCUAAACAUCUCUAAGUUGCUUUUCCAACAUGAGAAAUGUGCCUCCCAUGAUAGUACUUCUACUUACUUCUUUACAGAAUGUGAUAAACUAUCUAAUAUGAGGCUCUAUGUGUGCUUAUAUAUAAAAAAAUACACUUACAUGUCUAAUUGUCCUGCUGGACAGAUGCUGAUAUUAUGUAGAUUAGGUUUUAUGGGAAGGUAGGUCAGUGAAGCAGAGUUUGGGUGUCUUGCUAUGUGGUUUGUAGUGCAUAAUAGCUCUGAGAGUAUGUCUGGCGUGUUCCAAGCACCCUGGUCCUCCUCAUCCAUUUGUGCUUGACUGUGCUUGUCCCUUGUUUCAAGUGCUUGGAGUCUGUGGACCAUCUGCUUGAAGUGAACUGAGCCCUGUUUACAUUGAGCACAAAGAAAGGCAAUAUAUGAGAUCUUGUUUACUAAAUUAUUCUCAUGUUAAUGUUUAAAUGAAAUAGAAUAUCUUCCCUCUCGUCUCCACUCUCUUUUUUUCUCCCUUUAUUUCACUGGAGCAAAUAAAUUAAACGUGAUUCAAGUUUUAUCAAGGGUUUUUUGAGAGGCCACGUUGUGUGUGUUGCUGCAGAGGGCAGGCAGAGAACAGGCAGCUCACGAGCUGCUUGUUGG